UCUUCUUUCUCUUACAAUAAUACCUCUCUCCUUUUGCUCUACAUUUUUAUUGAUUCUUACUAGCCAUGGAUAGGAAAUUUGUGUUACUAGCGUCAAUCUUGUGCAUUGUAUUGGCAAGUGUCACGGGACAGUCACCUGCAGCAGCCCCAGCCAAAGCACCCGUAGGUGCUAAGGCUAGUUCUCCGCCCGCGGCUGCCCCAAGUAAGCCCAAAAGCACUCCUGCUCCAGCUACAGCACCAGUCUCGGCUCCACCUACAGCUGUUCCGGUUACGCCAGUAAGCGCUCCAGUUGCUGCUCCCACUACACCUGUUGUUGCUGCACCUGUAUCCCCACCAGCAAAAGCACCAGCAAGUUCCCCACCAGCAAAAGCACCAGCAAGUUCUCCACCAGUAGCUGCUCCAGUAAGCUCACCACCACCACCAGUGGCUGCACCAGUACAAUCUCCAC
rnacentral:lncRNA from 1 species